AGAGCAGGCAGAUGCCUGCCAGGGCCAGGGAGAGCUUUCUGAGAGGGUGGUGAGAGACUGGAGAGGUGGGAGAGGGGUAGCUAUGAAAGGAAAAUGUGUGGAGGUGACAUGGUCUGUAGGUUGGGCCAGGCCAGAAGAGAAGGUCAAAGAGAAAUGAGUGUUCCAGUCAGGCUUGAUGUCUUAGGGAAGAUCCUGGGGCCCAGCCCACUGCCCCCUCCUCUCCGUCUCUCCUGCUCCCGGGGCUGAGGGAAUGGAAGGAGCUGUGCCACUGUGAGGAGGAGGACCUGCAUCUGUGAGGGGCCUGCUGGGACCAGCUGCUGGGGAGUACAGCUUUCUCUCAGUAGCUGAAGGGGGCUGCCUCUUUUCCAAGGGGCAGCUGCCACGCCACCGCAGGAAAAUCUGGCUUGCCAUUUUGGAUACCUGGAUUUUCCCACAGUGUGAGGGGGCUGGGGGUGUGGCCCAGGAAGGUGCACCUGAGGUGGGAGAAGAAAGAAGAAGACUGGAUGGGAGUCAGCUGAAUUGGGGGCCGCAGAGGCUGGGGUGAGAGGGAGGGAAGGAGGUGUCAAAGCUCAGCCUCCCAAAGCUGAGCGAGAAGAGCAUGACGGGAGGGUGUUUCCCACCUCCUCGCCCACUCCAGCGCAGGGUCCUGUCUCCGUCCAAACGCUGCAAGCCUUUCCACAUUCCUGCACUACCUUCCUGCGCUGCCUUUGGAGAUCUGAGAGUCUUCAGGCAUGAACUCUGGGAAGGUCUCACUCUGCUGCCCGGGCUGGAAUGCAAUGGUGUGAUCUCGACUCACUGCAACCUCUGCCUCCUGGGCUCAAGCAACCCUCCUGCCUCAGCCUCCCAAGUAGCUGGGACUGCAGCCGUGUGCCACCACCACACCCAGCUAAUUUUUGUCUUUUUGUAGAGACAGGGUCUCACCAUGUUGACCAGGCUGGUCUCAAACCCCUGAGCUUAAGUGAUCCACCUGCCUCAGCCUCCUGAAGUCCUGGGAUUACAGGUGUGAGCCACCGUGCCCAGCUCUAAUUUAUUUUUAAAAGGUGAAUUGCUCCAGAAGUGUUUUGAACAUUCUUAGCAACAGCAAUUCUCUUUCUUCACCUUUACACCUGACUGGGGUAGGCCUGGUUGUCAUGACAUCACUGUGGAAAGCAACCACCUGGGGGACUGCUUGGUGAUCAGUCAAGCCUUCAGCUGACCAGCUUUCCCUUCUAUGGUCUGGAGCACCACAGGGCAGGGACAGGAGAGCACCAAUUCUUCAAUGUGAACAGAACUCUCCGACAUCAUCAGAAGGGAUGUCUGCCGGUUUUGCCUCCCCAAGCAUCCUUUCUGCCUUUUUCUGCUCGCAGCAUCUUGCUUCCCUUCUGGGAGUGCCUACUGCCUGUUCCAUUGCACUAAUGUCUGCCCUCUCCAAAGCUUAGGCAUGUGACCCAAUCAGACUAGAGUGUCUUUCCUGAGAACCCAGGGUUGUGGCCCCGGCAACAAGAUAGAUAGCAGUUAGGUCAGAGUGCUCUUGACCCAUGAAUUCUUACUACUCUGAAUUUUGAGCAGGGUUUACAUAAAUAAUAAAUUAGAGCAAGCUCAAAGUUAGCCCUAAAAUACUGUCACUUUCUCUUGAUUUUAAUAUACUUUCUUGAAGAGGUGAGAGAAAGCUUGCACUAUCCCUAAUAGGUAGGAAAUUGUAUGUCACCUGCAUGAUAGCUGUGGCCUGGGGUCCUGUCCUUCCAAAGCAUGGCUGUCCAAAUCUUCCAGUUUAGGAAUCUAAACUGGAAAAUGUAGCCACUGCGCAGCACUGCCUUCAUACCAUCCAGAAACCAGAUAUUUCCUUUUUCCUUAAAGUGCCCCAGGAAUAGAGUUACUAGAUUUAAUAAAUACAAAUACAGGAUACCCGGUUACAUUCGAAUUUUAGAUAAACAUAAAUGAAUACUUUUUUUAGUGUAAUUAUGUCCCAUGCAAUAUUUGGGCAUCCUGUAUUAUGUCUGGCAACCCUACUCAGGGAAGAAAAUGAUGUUUCGUCUCUUGGGGUUGACUUACAAACACUCACCCUCCUUUACCCGAUUCUGCUGUCCCUUCUCCCCCACAAGCAAAUGGCUUCUGUAAGAGUGGCCGUAUUAUUCGCCAGAUGGUUCGACCAAGGGUUACAUCUGACAAAAGAUGGACCAACCAGUGCAGCUUCCUAAGAAUUUUUCAAACAGUAAGAAAGAAUUAAGUGCUUUCAGGUGUUGGAGUUUGAGACAUUAAGCUCAGGGACUGGUGGCAGCCUUGAUUUCCAACACAUGGACAGGACUGGCCUCUAUUGAGAGAGAAUGAGGUAGACGCGCAGGCGGAAGCAGAGAGUGCUGACAGUGUUCAAAUAUUAAAUUCCAGUUGUUCUUGAGGGGCUCCUUGCCUUUGCCAUGUUUCUUUUUUCUUUUCUUUUUUUUUUUGAGACAGAGUCUCACUCUGUCUCCCACGCUAGAGUGCAGUGGUGCGAUCUCGGCUUGCUGCAACCUCCGCCUCCCUGGUUCAAGCAAUUCUCCUGCCUCAGCCUCCCAAGUAGCUGGGAUUACAGGUGCAUACCACUAUGCCUGGCUAAUUUUUGUAUUUUUAGCAGAGAUGGGGUUUCACCAUGUUGGUCAAGUUGGUCUUGAACUCCUGACCUCAGGUGAUCCACCCUCCUCGGCCUCCCAAAGUGCUGGGAUUACAGGUGUCAGCCACCAAGCCCGGCCUGCCUUGUUUUCAUAAACUAAAAAUAAAAUCCUAAGCCCCCCAACCAACUAAAUGGACCCCCUCUUGCCCAGGUGACCCCAGAGAAACCUGAAAAACUGAGUUCUUGGCCAUGAGGGGAGGGAGGUUGGACACACCUCAUUAUACCCUCUCCCUUUUGGAGUUUAGGCACAACUGGCCAGCAUUAAUGCUAAAACAGAGAUCAUAAGACUAAUAAAAUGGACUCUUCGUGACAAUAAGAUACCGAAUUAUAAACAGGACCUAAGGCCAUGCCAGACAAGGGGUAAUUCACACACUCCUACAGGUUGCUGCAGCCCAGUGUAUUGGUUAAUAGAAUUCCUUAUCUUAAAACAUUCCUUUCUGCUGACUCCAGAUUUUUAAACAGAGCUUUACUCCUUUAGCCAAUGGCAAAUUAAAGAAUCUCUGAAUCCACCUAUAACCUGUAAGCUCCCCCACUUCAAGAUAUCCGCCUUUGCAGGCUGAACCAAUGUAUACAUUCCAUGUAUUGAUUUAUGACUUUGCCUGCAAGUCCUGCCUCCCUAAAAUGUAUAAAACCAAACUGUAGGCCGGGCGUGGUGGCUCACACCUAUAAUCCCAGCACUUUGGGAGGCCGAGGCGAGCAGAUCACGAGGUCAAGGGAUCGAGACCAUCCUGGCCAACAUGGUGAAACCCCAUCUCUACUAAAAAUACAAAAAAAAAAUUAGCCGGGUGUGGUGGCAUGUGCCUGUGAUCCCAGCUACUUGGGAGGCUGAGGGAGGAGAACCACUUGAACUCGGGAAGUGGAGCGAGCUGAGAUUGCUCCACUGCACUGCACUUCAGCCUGGCAGCAGAGCGAGACUCCGUCUCAAAAAAAAAAAAAAACAAAAAAAACCUGUAAUCCCCAACUGCUUCCCGUGCACUAUCUUGGACCUCUUGAGACUGUGUUCCUGGGCCAUGUUCAUUCAUAUUGGCUCAGAAUAAACCUCUUUAAAAUAUUUAGAGCCUGGUUUUUGGAUUAACAUUUUGAUUAUUUAUGCUUUUUUAGUUUACAUGAACUACUAAGUUCUUUUUGCCCAAGGGUUGAAACCAAAUACAAGUCGCAACACUUUAUCAUAUUGGAGUCAGCUGUUAAGUUUCUGUUCCCAAGAUGUGAGGAGGAGCAGUGUCUUACUCAUCUUGGUCUCCUCAGCAUCUAACCCAGCAACUGGCAUAGAGUAGGACCUCAAUCAUGUUUUCAAAAAAUUAAUAAAUGACUCCCUGGGCAUGGAGAUGAGCAAUGUAGUGCACAUUUGACUGAUCUGAUUUCUUCUUUUUUAAAUCAUGAAUGUAUUUCUUUUUAAUUAUUUUCGUAGAGACAAGGACUUGCUAUGUUGCCCAGGGUGGUCUUGAACUCCUGGUCUCAAGUGAUCCUCCCACCUUGGCCUCCCAAAGUGUGGGGAUUACAGACGUGAGCCACCAUGCCCAGCCAUGAUUUGAUUUCUUGACAGAAACUCACCAAACAUCAGGAAUCUUUUCCACCAGCUCACUGGAAAAUCCUGAAACUUAGAGAAUCUCUCACUCCACAGCUGGCCGGAAUGGAAGGCAAGGUUGUGGUUGGGUUACUGGUUUUUGCCCAGGUAGGAAAGUAAGGGAGCCUUUAUGAUAAGGAUCAUGGUCGCUGAAACAACCAUGGUUGCUUCAAAAGUAGCCUCCUUGCAUUAUGCAGUUUUUUUAAAAAAAACUUUAUUUUUAGUUAUUUCUUAGAGACAGGAUCUCACUCUGUUGCUCAGGCUGGAGUGUAGUGGCAUGACUAUAUCUCACUGCCUCCUUGAACUCCUGGGCUCAAGUGAUACUCCUGCCUCAGCCUCCCAAGUAGUCGGGACCACAGGCACACACCACCAUGCCCAGCUCAUUUUCAAGUUUUUUGUAGAGACAGGGUUCUGCUAUGUUACCUAGGCUAGUCUUGAACUCCUAGGCUCAAGGGAUUCCUCUGCCUUAGCUUUCCAAAGUGCUGGAAUUACAGGUGUGAACCAUUGCACGUGGCCUGUGCAGUUGUUUUGAUUUCCUUUCUAAACAGAUGAGAAUGAAAUAUGAGCAAAUCCUGUUGGGUCCUUCUAAAGAGGCUCUGGGAAGAUGGCACUGGCUCUGUUUGUCUAUGCCCAGGACAGCUCCUGGAGAGCAGUGGGGAAGCACAGGAAAGGGUCCCUGCAAGGCAUGCUCAAGGUGGUGCUGUCAAGAACAGUGGAACUUGGCUGGGUGCAAUGGCUCACGCCUGUAAUCCCAGCACUUUGGGAGGCCGAGGUGGGUGGAUCUCCUGAGGUCAGGAGUUCGAGACCAGCCUGGCCAACAUGGUGAAACCCCAUCUCUACUAAAAAUAAAAAUACAAAAAUUAGCUGGGCAUGAUGGUGGGCGCCUGUAAUCCCAGCUACCUGGGAAGCCGAGGCAGAAGAAUCACUUGAACCCGGGAGGUGGAGGUUGCAGUGAGCUGAGAUAGCGCCACUGCACUCCAGCCUGGGCAACAAGAGUGAAACUCUGUCUCAAAAAACAAAACAAAACAAAAACAAAUUCCAGCAUGUCCUGCCUGGCCUUUGUCCUGUCAUCCCCAUUACCCUGACUCAGUAUUCUCAAAAGCCUGGAAUAUAGUUGCCUUCUAGUCUCAGGUUACACCAGAGCGGGGCACCUGGAUGCAUAGCACUCCUCCACCCCACCCCCACCCCAUAGACUUUCAGGAAAGAGGAGUCAGCUUUCAGCAGGACUGCCAACCUGUCUGGAAGGAGGGAGGACAGCAAGCUCUGUAGCAUCCCUAGAGAGUGGUUGCCCAGUCUCCCAAACUGCAGGGAGACAGCUCUCUCUCUCUCUCUUUGCCAGAGGAAGAAUGAACUUCUGUCACCCUCUGCACUCAAGGAACUCCAUCACCUCUAAAUUAUUUGUGUCAACCACUGAAGUCCAAGGAGAAUUUCAGAGCUGGGAGAAUUUGUUUGUAUUUUCACAAUUUAUAAUGCUCUUUUUGUCAGACCAAUUUGCCAAUACAAAAGGAUGGCCUAACAUACCAUUAUGGAGAGAGGAAACACAACAAGCAAACUAAAGCUUUUGCAACAUCAAAGUGAAUAUUAUCUUUGGCAAAAUGUAAGAGAGAUGUGGGGAAAUAAAGGCUGCUGGGAAGGUUCUGUUACUAAGGGGUUUGUCAGCUGAUCCCCGAGGCCCCUUUUGGCUCUGAAGUUCUGGAGAAUUAGAUUCUUUCCUACAUUUAUUCUGCUUUCUCUGUCCUUUUAUCGCAUGUGUUUAUUUCACCAGCUUUGUUUCUUCUAUGCUCAUCACAUUUGCAUGCUGAUUUUUCUAACAAUGAUAAGGAAAGUCUCUCUCUGAACGGAAAUUUUGAUAGCACAAUGGGUGGACAGGACAGUUGUGAUUUGUAGAAAUGUUUCCUCACAGCUAUCUUACCUGCAUGAAUAUUCUUGCUGGGACUUCCUAGGGAGUGUGUCUUCUUGUCUUCUGUUCCUUGAAUAAUAACCUGAUCAUUUACUGACAUGUUGACCUAAAAAUAAAUUCCA
rnacentral:lncRNA from 1 species